GACGAACGCUGGCGGCGUGCUUAACACAUGCAAAUCGAACGGAAAGGCCCUGCUUUUGUGGGGUGCUCGAGUGGCGAACGGGUGAGUAACACGUGAGUAACCUGCCCUUGACUUUGGGAUAACUUCAGGAAACUGGGGCUAAUACCGGAUAGGAGCUCCUGCUGCAUGGUGGGGGUUGGAAAGUUUCGGCGGUUGGGGAUGGACUCGCGGCUUAUCAGCUUGUUGGUGGGGUAGUGGCUUACCAAGGCUUUGACGGGUAGCCGGCCUGAGAGGGUGACCGGCAACAUUGGGACUGAGAUACGGCCCAGACUCCUACGGGAGGCAGCAGUGGGGAAUAUUGCACAAUGGGCGGAAGCCUGAUGCAGCAACGCCGCGUGCGGGAUGACGGCCUUCGGGUUGUAAACCGCUUUCGCCUGUGACGAAGCGUGAGUGACGGUAAUGGGUAAAGAAGCACCGGCUAACUACGUG
rnacentral:rRNA from 1 species